GACGAACGCUGGCGGCGUGCUUAACACAUGCAAGUCGAACGAGCGGCGGACGGGUGAGUAAUGUCUGGGAAACUGCCUGAUGGAGGGGGAUAACUACUGGAAACGGUAGCUAAUACCGCAUACCAUCAGAUGUGCCCAGAUGGGAUUAGCUAGUGGGUGGGGUAACGGCUCACCUAGGCGACGAUACCUAGCUGGUCUGAGAGGCUGACCAGCCACACUGGAACUGAGACACGGUCCAGACUCCUACGGGAGGCAGCAGUGGGGAAUAGUGCACAAUGGGCGCAAGCCUGAUGCAGCCAGGCCGCGUGUGUGAAGAAGGCCUUCGGGUUGUAAAGCACUUUCAGCGGGGAGGCGUUACCCGCAGAAGAAGCACCGGCUAACUCCGUGCCAGCAGCCGCGGUAAUUC
rnacentral:rRNA from 1 species